rnacentral:rRNA from 1 species
GACGAACGCUGGCGGCGUGCUUAACACAUGCAAGUCGAACGAAGUGGCGAACGGGUGAGUAACGCGUAAUCAACCUGCCCUUCAGAGGGGGACAACAGUUGGAAACGACUGCUAAUACCGCAUACUGAAGGAGGGGAUUGCGUCUGAUUAGCUAGUGGGAGGGGUCACGGCCGACCAAGGCGAUGAUCAGGAGGCGGUCUGGGAGGAUGGACGGCCACAUGGGGACUGAGACAAGGCCCAGACUCCUAAGGGAGGGAGGAGUGGGGAAUCUUGCGCAAUGGACGAAAGUCUGACGGAGCAACGCCGCGUGAGUGAUGACGGGCUUCGGGUUGUAAAGCUCUGUUAAUCGGGACGCGGUACCGGAAUAGAAAGCCACGGCUAACUACGUGCCAGCAGCCGCGGUAAUUC